CCUACGGGUGGCUGCAGUGGGGAAUAUUGGACAAUGGGCGCAAGCCUGAUCCAGCAAUGCCGCGUGUGUGAAGAAGGCCUUAGGGUUGUAAAGCACUUUCAGCAAUGAAGAAGUUGUAUUGGCUAAUAUCCAAUAUAAUUGACGUUAGUUGCAGAAGAAGUACUUGCUAACUCUGUGCCAGCAGCCGCGGUAAUACAGAGAGUGCUAGCUUUACUCGAAAUUAUUGGGCGUAGAGAAUAAAUAGGGAUGUGAAAUCCCUGGGCGUAACCUAGGAAUUGCAUUUAAUACUUUUUAUCUAGAGUAUUGUAGGGGGAAGUGGAAUUUCCGGUGUAGCGGUGAAAUGCGUAGAUAUCGGAAGGAACACCAGUGGCGAAGGCGACUUCCUGGACAAAUACUGACACUGAGACACGAAAGCGUGGGGAGCAAACAGGAUUAGAUACCCCGGUAGUC
rnacentral:rRNA from 1 species